GCACCACGUGAGAGUCUGGUACCCUUGGAGGCCUUUGGUUAGUGUUGGUGCAGUUGUGAGCCGCCAUGAACCCAGGGCUCCGAGAGAGCAGCUAGUGAGUCUAACCACUGAGCACUCUCUAGAGCUCCAGACUUCAUUCCUGGAGUCUGGUAUUUUGUAUGCUAAAUUAAAACUUUAACUGAAGGGUUAGAGAAAUGGUUAGGCUCAUGAUUAAAAGCAAUGGCUGUUCUUGCAGAGGACCUGGGUUUAACUCCCAGUGUAACAGGCCUCAGAUCUUAGCACAACUGACUACAUGAUGGAAGUACUACUCAGGCCAAAACUAAAGCACAGGCCAGCCCAUCAAGUUCUAUAGUUAGGGCAAAGUCUCUAAAGUUCUAACCUGUUUUUCAGCUUUUGUAGUUCCAUGUCUGGCUAACUGUUCUUGCUAACUGAGGUAUAUCACCUCAGGAUGUGGUUUUGUGCUUAAAAACUCACCUUAAGAAAGGCUCCAGGGUAUACUGGAAUCUACACACAGAGACUGUCGUGCAGUCACUGGCCCAUAAAGGCUCUGUCUGUGAGAGCCCUUGUCUGAGUAGUCUUGUCUGGUGGCUCCUCCUUAACACCCGAAGCACACGGCAGCUCCCAGCCUCCCAGCUCCAGUGGAUUGGAUGGCCUCUCUUGCCUUUGGUGCACAUCAGGCAACUGGAUGCUGGGGAUGGCUGUAAAUUGGUGCUCCAAUGGCCUUACCUUCUCCGGAGACAUGUUGGGGACAAUGUCUUCCCACGUCACCCUCUAUGAAUGAGAAGUGGCAUUACAAGAGACACCUAUGGGAGCCGUCUCAGCACACACUGGUGAGACACAGGGAGAUGCCUUCAACAGCUGCUCCAGCACGGUACACAGGGCAAGUUUGUCACCCUACAACU